rnacentral:rRNA from 1 species
UAGUCCACGCCCUAAACGAUGGAUACUAGUUGUCGGGUUUCCUAAUAGACUCGGUAACGUAGCUAACGCAUUAAGUAUCCCGCCUGGGGAUUACGAUCGCAAGAUUAAAACUCAAAGGAAUUGACGGGGGCCCGCACAAGCGGUGGAGCAUGUGGUUUAAUUCGAUGCUACGCGAAAAACCUUACCUGGGCUUGACAUCCCGGGCUACCCUGUGAAAGCAGGGGUUCUCUUCGGAGACCCGGUGACAGGUGCUGCAUGGCUGUCGUCAGCUCGUGUUGUGAGAUGUUGGGUUAAGUCCCGCAACGAGCGCAACCCUCGCCGUUAGUUACCAUCAUUUAGUUGGGGACUCUAACGGGACCGCUAGGCUAUAAGCCAGAGGAAGGUGGGGAUGACGUCAAGUCCUCAUGGCCUUUAUGUCCAGGGCAACACACGUGCUACAAUGGGAGAUACAAAUCGUUGCUACUUCGCGAGAAGUUGCUAAUCGCAAAAAGUCUCCCUCAGUUCGGAUUGGAGUCUGCAAUUCGACU